UUAACCGAAUAGGGGAGCCGGAGGGAAACCGAGUCUUAACCGGGCGUUAAGUUGCAGGGUAUAGACCCGAAACCCGGUGAUCUAGCCAUGGGCAGGUUGAAGGUUGGGUAACACUAACUGGAGGACCGAACCGACUAAUGUUGAAAAAUUAGCGGAUGACCUGUGGCUGGGGGUGAAAGGCCAAUCAAACCGGGAGAUAGCUGGUUCUCCCCGAAAGCUAUUUAGGUAGCGCCUCGUGAAUUCAUCUCCGGGGGUAGAGCACUGUUUCGGCUAGGGGGCCAUCCCGGCUUACCAACCCGAUGCAAACUGCGAAUACCGGAGAAUGUUAUCACGGGAGACACACGGCGGGUGCUAACGUCCGUCGUGAAGAGGGAAACAACCCAGACCGCCAGCUAAGGUCCCAAAGUCAUGGUUAAGUGGGAAACGAUGUGGGAAGGCCCAGACAGCCAGGAUGUUGGCUUAGAAGCAGCCAUCAUUUAAAGAAAGCGUAAUAGCUCACUGGUCGAGUCGGCCUGCGCGGAAGAUGUAACGGGGCUAAACCAUGCACCGAAGCUGCGGCAGCGACGCUGAUGCGUUGUUGGGUAGGGGAGCGUUCUGUAAGCCUGCGAAGGUGGCCUGUGAGGGUUGCUGGAGGUAUCAGAAGUGCGAAUGCUGACAUAAGUAACGAUAAAGCGGGUGAAAAGCCCGCUCGCCGGAAGACCAAGGGUUCCUGUCCAACGUUAAUCGGGGCAGGGUGAGUCGACCCCUAAGGCGAGGCCGAAAGGCGUAGUCGAUGGGAAACGGGUUAAUAUUCCCGUACUUGGUGUUACUGCGAAGGGGGGACGGAGAAGGCUAUGUUGGCCGGGCGACGGUU
rnacentral:rRNA from 2 species